GCUUACGGCCACACCGCCUUUCACGCCCGAUCUCGUUUGAUCUCGGAAGCUAAGAUAGGUUGGGCCUGGUUAGUACUUGGAUGGGAACUGCCUGGGAAUACCAGGUGCUGUAAAGC
rnacentral:rRNA from 1 species